AGUGCGGGGAGACCGCGUUUAGAGGAUCAGUGGCGGUAGCCCCGCGCGGUACCGGCGAUGGCAGCGAGAUGUCCUGGCCCCUUCCAGGUUUGGAGACGGCCUUGGAGGGCCAGCUUCUCAACUUCAGCAGUGUGAGGAUGGUGUGGUACUUACUGAUGCUGCCAUCCAGCUGUCCCCACUCAGGCUGGCUGAUGGAGAGUCUGGAGGUUCGCUGAGAAGGCAGUGCUGGUGACUACUUAGCUGGUAAUGACAGUAUUUGUAGAGUGGGAUGCAGAGGCCUCCUAGCAAUAUGUGGAGGGAUGGCCCUCAACUAGGCUGGAAGAAAGCAAGCAAAGAGGGGAGCCCAAGGAAAGGUGGGGACAGAUGGGAUUUUUAGAUAACACUCGUCUGCUAUACUUCUAAUGUGUUGUAUGUUAUGAUCUCCAAAUUUCACAUUUGCUGUAGUGAUCUGUAGUGUGUAGGCACCAGUCAAAUGCUGCUUGGCCAAAACAGUGUUAAAUAAAACUGUAAGAAAUGCUA